rnacentral:lncRNA from 1 species
GGCCUCUCUUCAAAGAAUUUUAGAAAGAAGAAAGAAACUUGCAUUUAACCUUUUCAUCUUCUCUUUGUCCUAUUUUGCUUUGUGGAUGAAUGAAUAUGGCAGGCUUUGUGUUCACUCAAAAUAUCUGUAAAUCUUGCAUGCAAAUAUGAAAGAAUGGGUUGUUUCUUCAUUAAUCAUCAUUUGACUUGUCUGUUAGCUAUAUUAAUUACUCUGCGCCUGCUCGGCAUUUACUUAUAUUUUUUAUACCGGGAGCAGGUUCCAAGAUGAGGUUAUGAAUUUGCCUCUUGCUGGGAUUGAGGCAAUUCUGUCUAGCGAUGA